GCUGCGUGUUCAUCACCUCCUCCUUCCUCCACCUCUGAUCUGCUCUGUCUGCACCUUACUCCCAGAAGAACGAAGACGCCUACGUCAUUCACUGCACAGUGCCGAACAGUCAAGGUGCUGUGUACAAAGGCAUUCUGUUAACGAGCCAAGACACAACUAGAGAUGUGAUCUCAAAAAUUAUGAGAAAAUAUGAUCUGGACAUGGAGGAAGCAGGAAACUACCAACUUGUGCAGGUCAUUUCAGAACACAAAGAGCUAGUCUUCCCACAGGAAGCAAAUGUGCUUUCUUAUAUGAACAGCCAGGGGAACGCAGACAUCAGCCAAAGAAGAAAGCCAGCUUUCCGUGCCUCCCCAUUGUCUGCUGCAGACAAGAAAAAGAGGAGGCGCCUACCUCGCCUCUUUAGAGGCAGCAGGGUCAGACCCGAAUGAGAGCAUCCUGACAAGGAGCUGACACGAAUACCAUUCUCAGGCUGGGGGAGACUGGGAACCUGUGGGGGGUUGGGGUGCAGGCAUGGGAGGGAUGGGGUCAGGUGGGAAUGGGGAGCAGAAGGGAAUAUAAUUUAUGUUCAGGAGGGAUGUUGGGCACAAGGAGUGGGAGGGAGAGGGGGAAAAUGGGAGGGAGGUUUGUUACAAGGCGGGGAUAAGGGUAGGGUUUUGCAAUUGCAAGAAAGCAGACCCCUGGGUGGGGGAAGGGGUAUAUACCCUUCCCCUUGCCCCCCCAGCCCUGCCGGUGCCCCUCACUCCCAACCCACAGCCCCUUUCCCACCCACCCCCAUACCUCCUGGUGCUCCUCCCUUAUCCUGCAGAGAAUGAAAGUAGCCAUCAAUCCCUUCUUCAAUUGCCCUGAUCCCCCUCAGCCUGCUCACCUCUGCCUGGAGCCCCCUCACCUGCCCCUCCAGGGCCUCAGUCCGGGCACAGGUGGGACAGGCAAGAGACUCCCGGCCCCCACGCUACCCCCAGGCCUCAGAGGUCCCGCCAGGCAGCCCCCGCAGACAGGGCUCAGGGCACUGCCCACCCAUCCAAGGGGCCUGUCUGGGUGGAGGCCUCACAGGAGCUGCGGGCCGGAGGCAGCAGCAGGGCAGGGGCCUUGGCUGCGCUCCGUGUCACCACCCCAUAGUAGCACCCCUCCUCCUUCACUUCCCUGAAGUCUCUGGCAUAAGCCCCCAUGUGCUCCUGCCCAUGCCUGGCCUGUGAACUGCAGUCAAACUGCUCCCCUGUUGGCAGUCCCUGUUCGCUGGCUCCCUGGUCACAGCCUGGUCCCCAACAGUUUGUGAUGCACAAACACUCUCGGGAGACGAGGUUAGUUAUAUGCUCAAGACCUUUCCCAGCUUUCAUUGGCACGCAUGGUUUUCAAACUGUUUUGGGAAGGCUUCUGGAUCAUCUCCAUGUUUGUUGUGAGGGGAGAUUGGUGUGUUCAGCCUGAGGGAGCAGCUGGGGCUCGCUAAGCGCCUGCAACUCCAGGGGUUGACUGCAUCCUGAGUACUGCGAGAUGGUGUUUGCACUUGAACCUGGCCUCUUGGCCACCAUGCUCAUGCUGGCGCUGGACCUCUUUGUGCUGGCGCUGGGC